CUGGGCGCAGGGCCCGCCCUUGGGGAGCGGCCGCGGCGGGCGGGGCGGGGCCUGCGGAAGCACCUGGGCGGCGCGGCGGGGCUCGGCCUCUCUCGGCGCCCGCAGACAUGAGGCGCCGCCGUAGCGCGGGGCCGGGCCGGCCACCAUGAGGGCUUCCAGCCGACGCGCGGCUCAGGCCGGCGCGGGGGGCAGGGAGGCGCUGCCCGCAGGUGAGGGCCCCUCACCCUGGCGUGGUUCGUGACAAACCCCGAGUGUUGCAGGCGGAACCGGCCAAAUGAGGCGCCUUCUUGAGCAGGCGGCCGCUCCGCUGGCAUGGCCUGAUCCUGCGGGGAGGAGGUGCAAAGGGAUGAGCUGCACUUGGGCGCAGGCAGAGCCCAGGGGCCUUUCCAGCUACGGGGGUGAGGUCUCUCCAGGAGCCGAUGAGGGGAGACAGGCAAAAAGGCUGUUCGUUCUGCCACGCUAACUAAAAUAAACGGCCUCUGCAGGCCUGUAAAUGGGCUGCGGUGCCAGCCUCUGGUGCUCUGGGUGGAAAUAAUAACCUGGUUUAUCUAGCAAAGCACGCAGUGCUGGAAGCCGCUCUCCUGAUGCGAGGCGUUAGCAGUGAGGCCUGCAACGCUGGAGGGGCGGAUGGGCCUCUGCUUCCUUCUGUCCUUUAAAAACUCAACGUUGAGUUCUGUUUCAUCCAGCGGUAGUCAGCUACCCAUUGCUGCUCAGUGCCGGGGAUAGUGUUAUGCUGCUGGGAGAGAAACAGGCUGCCGAGCCGCGCCUGGCACCGCCUGCGCUGUUCUGGUGCUGGAUGGUGCCAGGCUUUGGCAGCACGCUGCAUGCUCGAGAGUGGAGUAACUCUUUCUCGGUGGAGUUAGUCCUAGAUUGGAUGCAGACAAUGCACAGUCAGAAAAUGUAAAAAAAAAAAAAAAAACAAACACUCUGUUGCGGAUGUACUGUUUAAUAUUGUCUCCUUUAUAUAAAAAUGAAAGUCAGCUAACUAACUGGUCAGUGUUAAGUGUUGAAUUUGGGGUCUUUAGAGAUACUCCUGUUAACUGUAUGUUUUUUAAUUACAGGCAAAUGGUUUGCAUGUUUCACUGCAGGUGGGGGCUUGCUGGAGUAGCAGUAGUUGUCAGAAGAAAUAAGCUGUUGGUGCUGCUUUGAAGAUUCCCAUUUUAAAGAGAUGGAGAAGAUAGAAACUUAGAGUCCACAAUUUAAAGGCAUCUACUAGAGAAGUACUUUCUUUCAGCACCUGGAUGUAGUAACUUGAAACACCAAAGGUGGUUGGGGACAAGGUAUAACAAGAAUUAAAUUUACAAUUUGUUAACUUAAUCCCCUCUCUCUGCUUGUUUAAAAUUAUAUUUUUAUGUGACCUAUUUAUUAAACUUGUUUAUAUUUAAA